rnacentral:rRNA from 1 species
UACGAAGGGUGCAAGCGUUGCUCGGAAUUAUUGGGCGUAAAGGGUAGGUAGGUGGUUACAUAUGUCUGAGGUGAAAGCCCCGAGCUUAACUUGGGAAGUGCCUUGGAAACGGUGUAACUAGAGUACUGGAGAGGUUUGGUAGAAUUCCUGGUGUAGCGGUGAAAUGCGUAGAGAUCAGGAGGAAUACCAGAGGCGAAGGCGACAAACUGGACAGUAACUGACACUCAACUACGAAAGCGUGGGUAGCAAACAGG